UACGUAGGGUGCGAGCGUUGUCCGGAAUUAUUGGGCGUAAAGAGCUUGUAGGCGGUCUGUCGCGUCUGCUGUGAAAUCCGGGACGCUCAACCCCGGAUUGCAGUGGGUACGGCAGACUAGAGUCCGGAAGAGGAGACUGGAAUUCAUGGUGUAGCAGUGAAAUGACGUAGAGAUCAUGAGGAAGACCAGUGGCGAAGGCGGGUCUCUGGACAGUUCCUGACACUGAGACACGAAGGCCAGGGGAGCAAACGGG
rnacentral:rRNA from 1 species